rnacentral:rRNA from 1 species
AUAGCGUAUAUUAAAGUUGUUGCGGUUAAAAAGCUCGUAGUUGAAUCUGUGUCCCACGCUGCCGGUUCGCCGCUCGCGGUGUUUAACUGGCAUGAUUGUGGGACGUCCUACCGGUGGGCUUAGCCUCUCGGGGCGGCCCAACUAAUAUCCCAUCGCGGUGCUCUUCACUGAGUGUCGAGGUGGGCCGGUACGUUUACUUUGAACAAAUUAGAGUGCUUAAAGCAGGCUAUUUUCGCUUGAAUACUGUGUGCAUGGAAUAAUGGAAUAGGACCUCGGUUCUAUUUUGUUGGUUUUCGGAACCCCGAGGUAAUGAUUAAUAGGGACAGAUGGGGGCAUUCGUAUUGCGACGUUAGAGGUGAAAUUCUUGGAUCGUCGCAAGACGGACAGAAGCGAAAGCAUUUGCCAAAAAUGUUUUCUUUAAUCAAGAACGAAAGUUAGAGGUUCGAAGGCGAUCAGAUACCGCCCUAGUUCUAACCAUAAACGAUGCCAGCUAGCGAUCCGCCGAAGUUCCUCCGAUGACUCGGCGGGCAGCUUCCGGGAAACCAAAGCUUUUGGGUUCCGGGGGAAGUAUGGUUGCAAAGCUGAAACUUAAAGGAAUUGACGGAAGGGCACCACCAGGAGUGGAGCCUGCGGCUUAAUUUGACUCAACACGGGAAACCUCACCAGGCCCGGACACCGGAAGGAUUGACAGAUUGAGAGCUCUUUCUUGAUUCGGUGGGUGGUGGUGCAUGGCCGUUCUUAGUUGGUGGAGCGAUUUGUCUGGUUAAUUCCGAUAACGAACGAGACUCUAGCCUGCUAAAUAGGCGUACUUUCCGGUAUCUCGAAGGCCCCCGGCUUCGGUUGGGCGGUUUUUACUACCGGCGUACAAAUAAAUCUUCUUAGAGGGACAGGCGGCUUCUAGCCGCACGAGA